rnacentral:tmRNA from 1 species
GGGGCCGAUUAGGAUUCGACGCCGGUAACAAAACUUGAGGGGCAUGCCGAGCUGGUAGCAGAACUCGUAAAUUCGCUGCUGCAAACUUAUAGUUGCCAACGACGACAACUACGCUCUAGCUGCUUAAUGCGGCUAGCAGUCGCUAGCAGCCUGUCGGACUUUUCCCCUCGCCGGUAGAAUUGCGCAUCGCUCCUGGAACCUGACUGUAUGAGCCGCUUUCGACCGAUAAACCGCGAAAUCGACUACUUGCUCCCGCCGUCGGUGCAGGACUGGCUGCCCGAGUCACAUUUGGCGCGCUACGUGGUGGAGGUCGUAGAGGGCCUGGAUCUGUCGAAGCUGGAGAGCGUCUAUGCGGGCCGUGGCAGCGCUGCCUACCAUCCGGCUAUGUUGCUGUCGUUGCUGAUCUACGGCUAUGCCACGGGUGCGUAUUCAAGCCGCA